rnacentral:rRNA from 1 species
UAAGGACCCGUAUGAAUGGCUAAUUGAGGGUGACACUGUCUCAUACGAUUAAUCAAUGAACCUGAUUUCCCAGUACAAAAGCUGGGAUAAAACCACAAGACGAGAAGACCCUGUGGAGCUUCAAGCCAGAAUACUGACUCACUAUAAAACAGUGUUCGCCUUAAGUUGGGGCAACUACGGAGAAAAACAGAACCUCCAUGACACAAAGAAGUUUAAAACAUCACCAAGGGGGACACCCCAAAAGUGAUGCCCUUUAUGACCCAGUAAAACUGAGUACCGAACCAAGUUACCCCAGGGAUAACAGCGCCAUCCCCCUCAAGAGUCCACAUCAACAGGGGGGCUUACGACCUCGAUGUUGGAUCAGGACACCCAGGUGGUGCAGCCGCUACCAAUGGUCCGUUUGUUCAACGGCUAACGUCCU